rnacentral:misc_RNA from 1 species
ACCCUUCUCUGUUAACCAGCUGGGAAACUCCGGCACCACACCAGAGAACCCAAUCUGAUACAAAGCUGAUACUGGGUCAUUCUGUUGCUCUGUCCAUGGGAUAGUCCCAGUUGCCAUUUCUAUGACCGUGCACCCCAAAGCCCACAAGUCUGCUGGGAACCCCUGCUCUUCUCCACGAGCUACCUCUGGCGCCAUGNNNNNNNNNNNNUCUGACAUGGCACAACCACCAACUUUUUCAACAUAUUUAGCACAGCCAAAGUCGGCAAUUUUCGCUCCUUCUUUGCUUAUCAGAACAUUCUUGCUCUUGAUAUCACAAUGGACCAAGCCAUUCGUAUGCAAGUACUCCAAGCCUUGUAAGAU